rnacentral:lncRNA from 1 species
GAAAACCUGCAAGCAAGCCUCGCACCACCACUGGGGUAGUGGGGGCCCUCCGACGAUCAAGUCAGAGGAGAUUGGAGGAGAAGGAGAGAUAAUUGUAGCCAGUAGGAGAAUGCACUGGAAGUUCUUGCUUACCUCCCCCCUUCUCCCCCCAGCAGCAUAUAUACCAGGCUGGGGGGUCCUUCUGGGGGGUUGGUCAUCGUGUGGCACGAUGGAGUUGCCACUGACAUGGCCGUUACAGGGCGUCGUGGGGCAGCGCUGGGUACGAACAUGACAGGGCGUAGUGGAGCUCCGCUUUGUACGGCUGUUACAGGAGAUCGUGGAGCAGCGCCGGAUACGACCGUUGCAGGGAGUAG